rnacentral:rRNA from 1 species
GGAGGGCAAGUCUGGUGCCAGCAGCCGCGGUAAUUCCAGCUCCAAUAGCGUAUAUUAAAGUUGUUGAGGUUAAAAAGCUCGUAGUUGAACCUUGGGCCUAGCCGGCCGGUCCGCCUCACCGCGUGCACUGGCUCGGCUGGGUCUUUCCUUCUGGAGAACCGCAUGCCCUUCACUGGGUGUGCCGGGGAACCAGGACUUUUACUCUGAACAAAUUAGAUCGCUUAAAGAAGGCCUAUGCUCGAAUACAUUAGCAUGGAAUAAUAGAAUAGGACGUGUGGUUCUAUUUUGUUGGUUUCUAGGACCGCCGUAAUGAUUAAUAGGGACAGUCGGGGGCAUCAGUAUUCAAUUGUCAGAGGUGAAAUUCUUGGAUUUAUUGAAGACUAACUACUGCGAAAGCAUUUGCCAAGGAUGUUUUCAUUAAUCAGGAACGAAAGUUAGGGGAUCGAAGACGAUCAGAUACCGUCGUAGUCUUAACCAUAAACUAUGCCGAUUAGGGAUCGGACGGCGUUAUUUUUUGACCCGUUCGGCACCUUACGGGAAAC